AAAUUGAAGAGUUUGAUCAUGGCUCAGAUUGAACGCUGGCGGCAGGCCUAACACAUGCAAGUCGAACGGUAACAGGAAGCAGCUUGCUGCUUUGCUGACGAGUGGCGGACGGGUGAGUAAUGUCUGGGAAACUGCCCGAUGGAGGGGGAUAACUACUGGAAACGGUAGCUAAUACCGCAUAACGUCGCAAGACCAAAGAGGGGGGCCUUCGGGCCUCUUGCCAUCGGAUGUGCCCAGAUGGGAUUAGCUAGUAGGUGGGGUAACGGCUCACCUAGGCGACGAUCCCUAGCUGGUCUGAGAGGAUGACCAGCCACACUGGAACUGAGACACGGUCCAGACUCCUACGGGAGGCAGCAGUGGGGAAUAUUGCACAAUGGGCGCAAGCCUGAUGCAGCCAUGCCGCGUGUAUGAAGAAGGCCUUCGGGUUGUAAAGUACUUUCAGCGGGGAGGAAGGGAGUAAAGUUAAUACCUUUGCUCAUUGACGUUACCCGCAGAAGAAGCACCGGCUAACUCCGUGCCAGCAGCCGCGGUAAUACGGAGGGUGCAAGCGUUAAUCGGAAUUACUGGGCGUAAAGCGCACGCAGGCGGUUUGUUAAGUCAGAUGUGAAAUCCCCGGGCUCAACCUGGGAACUGCAUCUGAUACUGGCAAGCUUGAGUCUCGUAGAGGGGGGUAGAAUUCCAGGUGUAGCGGUGAAAUGCGUAGAGAUCUGGAGGAAUACCGGUGGCGAAGGCGGCCCCCUGGACGAAGACUGACGCUCAGGUGCGAAAGCGUGGGGAGCAAACAGGAUUAGAUACCCUGGUAGUCCACGCCGUAAACGAUGUCGACUUGGAGGUUGUGCCCUUGAGGCGUGGCUUCCGGAGCUAACGCGUUAAGUCGACCGCCUGGGGAGUACGGCCGCAAGGUUAAAACUCAAAUGAAUUGACGGGGGCCCGCACAAGCGGUGGAGCAUGUGGUUUAAUUCGAUGCAACGCGAAGAACCUUACCUGGUCUUGACAUCCACGGAAGUUUUCAGAGAUGAGAAUGUGCCUUCGGGAACCGUGAGACAGGUGCUGCAUGGCUGUCGUCAGCUCGUGUUGUGAAAUGUUGGGUUAAGUCCCGCAACGAGCGCAACCCUUAUCCUUUGUUGCCAGCGGUCCGGCCGGGAACUCAAAGGAGACUGCCAGUGAUAAACUGGAGGAAGGUGGGGAUGACGUCAAGUCAUCAUGGCCCUUACGACCAGGGCUACACACGUGCUACAAUGGCGCAUACAAAGAGAAGCGACCUCGCGAGAGCAAGCGGACCUCAUAAAGUGCGUCGUAGUCCGGAUUGGAGUCUGCAACUCGACUCCAUGAAGUCGGAAUCGCUAGUAAUCGUGGAUCAGAAUGCCACGGUGAAUACGUUCCCGGGCCUUGUACACACCGCCCGUCACACCAUGGGAGUGGGUUGCAAAAGAAGUAGGUAGCUUAACCUUCGGGAGGGCGCUUACCACUUUGUGAUUCAUGACUGGGGUGAAGUCGUAACAAGGUAACCGUAGGGGAACCUGCGGUUGGAUCACCUCCUUACCUUAAAGAAGC
rnacentral:rRNA from 1 species